GAUAAACGCUGGCGGUGUGCCUAAUACAUGCAAGUCGAGCGAAUGGAUUAAGAGCUUGCUCUUAUGAAGUUAGCGGCGGACGGGUGAGUAACACGUGAGUAACCUGCCCAUAAGACUGGGAUAACUCCGGGAAACCGGGGCUAAUACCGGAUAACAUUUUGAACCGCAUGGUUCGAAAUUGAAAGGCGGCUUUGGCUGUCACUUAUGGAUGGACCCGCGUCGCAUUAGCUAGUUGGUGAGGUAACGGCUCACCAAGGCAACGAUGCGUAGCCGACCUGAGAGGGUGAUCGGCCACACUGGGACUGAGACACGGCCCAGACUCCUACGGGAGGCAGCAGUAGGGAAUCUUCCGCAAUGGACGAAAGUCUGACGGAGCAACGCCGCGUGAGUGAUGAAGGCUUUCGGGUCGUAAAACUCUGUUGUUAGGGAAGAACAAGUGCUAGUUGAAUAAGCUGGCACCUUGACGGUACCUAACCAGAAAGCCACGGCUAACUACGUGCCAGCCGCCGCAGUAA
rnacentral:rRNA from 1 species